rnacentral:rRNA from 1 species
GAUGAACGCUGGCGGCGUGCCUAAUACAUGCAAGUAGAACGCUGAAGGAAGGAGCUUGCUCUUUCCGGAUGAGUUGCGAACGGGUGAGUAACGCGUAGGUAACCUGCCUGGUAGCGGGGGAUAACUAUUGGAAACGAUAGCUAAUACCGCAUAACAGUAGAUGUUGCAUGACAACUAUUUGAAAGGGGCAAUUGCUCCACUACCAGAUGGACCUGCGCUGUAUUAGCUAGUUGGUGAGGUAACGGCUCACCAAGGCGACGAUACAUAGCCGACCUGAGAGGGGGAUCGGCCACACUGGGACUGAGACAAGGCCCAGACUCCUACGGGAGGCAGCAGUAGGGAAUCUUCGGCAAUGGACGGAAGUCUGACCGAGCAACGCCGCGCGAGUGAAGAAGGUUUUCGGAUCGUAAAGCUCUGUUGUAAGAGAAGAAAGAGUGUGAGAGUGGAAAGUUCACACUGUGACGGUAUCUGACCAGAAAGGGACGGCUAACUACGUG